UUGUGUUUGCAACUUCAGUAGAGUUUUGUUUGAAUUUCUACAUAGCAUUUCUCAAAUGAAUGUAGGUAUGUAGCAGUGGGAAAUGAGCCAUUUCUCCGAACAUACAACGGGACGUACCUGCAGUACAUAUUACCAGCACUGAAAAAUGUUCAAGAAGCCAUCAACAAAGCUGGAUUAGGGGCAAAGGUGAAAGCAACUAUCCCUUUCAAUGCAGACAUUUACUUCUCCCCUGAGUCAAAUCAGGUACCCUCAGCUGGUGAUUUCAGGCCAGAAGUGCGCGAUUUAACCCUCCAGAUUGUCCAAUAUCUGUAUUUGAAUGAUGCCCCUUUCGUCGUUAACAUCUAUCCUUUCCUAAGUCUAUAUGGGAACAUCUACUUCCCAUUAGACUUUGCCUUCUUUGAUGGCUCAAACAAGCCUGUCAGAGAUGGAGAUUAUGUUUACACGAACGUGUUUGAUGCCAAUUUCGAUACACUUGUAUGGUCGUUGAAGAAAGCUGGUUUCACUGACAUGAAAAUCGUAGUAGGAGAAGUAGGUUGGCCAACAGAUGGAGAUAAGAAUGCUAAUAACGAAAACGCUAUGAGAUUUAACCAAGGAUUGAUCAAACAUUGUUUGAGUGAACAAGGAACUCCUGCAAGAAAGGGCAAGAAGAUAGAGGUUUAUUUAUUCAGCCUUAUUGAUGAGAAUGCUAAAAGCAUUGCUCCAGGUAACUUUGAGAGGCAUUGGGGAAUGUUUGAAUUCGAUGGAAAGCCUAAAUACGAGCUAGAUUUAUCCGGGAGGAUGCAGAAGGACAAAGGGUUAGUUGCAGUAGAAGGUGUAAACUAUAUGCACAAAAGGUGGUGUAUACUUAAACCAGAAAACGCGGUAACAGAUGUAGAUAAUGCAGAAGACUUACCAAAAAACAUAGAUUACGCGUGCAGUCUUUCAGAUUGCACGGCUUUGGGAUAUGGCUCGUCCUGUAACCAUCUUAGCACGGAAGGGAAUGCGUCCUAUGCUUUUAACAUGUACUAUCAGCUCAAGAAUCAGAACAGUUGGGACUGUGAUUUUGAUGGCCUGGCUGUGGUGACUGAUGAGGAUCCAUCGGACGACAAAUGCCGAUUUCCGCUGAUGAUUGCUGUUGGUCACUCCCUGGAUAUGCUGUUGCCCAAGAAGCUGUUGUAUGUCUUACUUGUUGCUAUUCUCCUCUUGAUGGAUGAUUAGUGAAUCUUGUUCCUUGUUUUUUCUCCUAGAGACAAGUCAC
rnacentral:lncRNA from 1 species